rfam:TPA: Bos taurus chromosome 29, whole genome shotgun sequence.
UGGCUCAGAUGGUAAAGCAUCUGCCUGCAAUGCAGGAGACCUGGGUUCGAUUCCUGG